ensembl:snRNA U6 U6 spliceosomal RNA
GUGCUUGCUUUGGCAGCACAUUAACUAAAAUUGGAACUAUACGGAGAAGAUUAGCAUGAGCCCUGCGCAAGAAUGACAGGUCGAUUCGAGAUAAUAGGAAGGGACUA